GGCAGAAUACUUUCGCAAGGCACUGUAAAUCUCUCUUCUUCCUCUGCACUUCUUUGAGAGCUGUCGUCAAGACUUUUACCCUGAACCUUGACUUCCCAGGUUGAUAGGAUGAAGUCCAGGUUUUUCUACAUCAUGGUUCUGCUCACAGGAGGUCUCGCUAUGAACGAAGGAAAAAACGAUUUGUGCUCCAACUACACUCAGUUCUGUCUUAUGUUCCGUCUGUCGUCGAUGUGGAUGGUGCAAGAUGCUGGAUGGAAGUUAUCAAUGAGCAGUUUAAGACGGAGAACCUCAGCACUAUUUUCAAAUCUGUGGAGAAACGAGAAAGGGUUCUUGGAAACACAGCAUUGAAUGAGACGACUUCAAUCAUUGUUGAGAGGCUUGUGGCCCAGAUAUUCAGGGCCGAGGGCAGGUUUACUGGGCUAAAUAUAUCUGCCACUCGAGAAGGGGCAAGAUGACAGUGAUCCACAAUGCAAUAAUUGAGGAAGUUUAGACACAGUUUUUUGAAAACCAUGUGCAGUUUGGCAUUUAUUGGGAAUGGGAUGAAUGUUGUCCUGGAGGCAGUUCCGCAGAGUGGUCACUAGCUGCCUUAGCCACACAAAGUUAUAAAAUCUGACUUUAAGCCUCCCUAAUAUUAACCCAAACCUUAACCACACUGCUAACCGUAUGCCCUAACCUUAAAUUUGUUUUUAUAAAACAUUUUACGAUAUAGCCAAUUUGACUUUGCGGCUGGCCCAUCUAGCGGAAAGCGCCCAGCUCGGCCUCCGUGACAAGAUUCAUCUCAAAUAAACUUCAAACCUGCAAACUGCGUCACAUGCAAAUACAGUUGAAGUCGGAGGUUUACAUACACUUAGGUUGGAGUCAUUAAAACUAGUUUUUCAACCACUCCACAAAUGUCUUGUUAUCAAACUAUAGUUUUGGCAAGUUGGUUAGGAUAUCUACUUUGUGCAUGACACAAGUCAUUUUUCCAACAAUUGUUUACAGACAGAUUAUUUCACUUAUAAUUCACUGUAUCACAAUUCCAGUGGGUCAGAGUUGACUGUGCCUUUAAAAACAGCUUGGAAAAUUCCAGAAAAUUAUGUCAUGGCUUUAGAAGCUUCUGUUAGGCUAAUUGACAUCAUUUAAGUCAAAUGGAGGUGUACCUGUGGAUGUAUUUCAAGGCCUACCUUUCAAACUCAGUGUCUCUUUGCUUGACAUCAUGGGAAAAUUAAAAGAAAUCUGCCAAGACCUCAGGAAAAAUAAUUGUAGACCUUCACAAGUCUGGUUCAUCCUUGGGAGCAAUUUCCAAGCGCCUGAAGGCACAACGUUCAUCUGUACAAGAAAUAGUGCGCAAGUAUUAACACUUUGGGACCACACAGGCGUCAUACCACUCAGGAAGGAGACGCGUUCUGUCUCCUAGAGAUGAAUGUACUUUGGUGCGAAAAGUGCAAAUCAAUCCCAGAACAACAGCAAAAGACCUUGUGAAGAUGCUGAAGGAAACAGAUACAAAAGUAUAUCCACACUAAAAGUCCUAUAUCGAUAUAACCUGAAAGGCCGCUCAGCAAGGAAGAAGCCACUGCUCCAAAACCGCCAUAAAAAAGCCAGACUACGGGUUGUAACUGCACAUGGGGACAAAGAUCGUACUUUUUGGAGAAAUGUCCUCUGGUCUGAUGAAACCAAAAUAUAACUGUUUGGGCAUAACGACCAUCGUUAUGUUUGGAGGAAAAACGGGGAGGUUUGCAAGCCGAAGAACACCAUCCCAACCGUGAAGCACGGAGGUGGCAGCAUCAUGUUGUGGGGGUGCUUUGUUGCAGGAGGGACUGGUGCACUUCACAAAAUAGAUGGCAUCAUGAGGGGGAAAAUGAUGUGGCUAUAUUGAGGCACCAUCUCAAAACAGGAAGUUAAAGCUUAUGUCACGCUCUGACCUUAGUUCUUUGUGAUGUCUUUGUUUUAGUAUGGUCAGGGCAUGAGUUGGGUGGGCAGUCUAUGUUCUUUUUUCUAUGAUUUGGUAUUUCUGUGUUUGGCUUGGUAUGGUUCUCAAUCAGAGGCAGCUGUCAAUCGUUGUCCCUGAUUGAGAACCAUACUUAGGCAUCCUGUUUUCACCCUUGAGUGGUGGGUGAUUAUACUUUCUGUUUAGUGUGUGUUGCACCUGACGGAGCUGUUUCGGUUGUGCUUUUUGUUUCUUUGUUAGAUGUUGUUCAGUUUUAAAUAAAUAACAUGAACAAGUACCACGCUGCGCUUUGGUCCUCACCUUCUUCCACCGACAACCGUUACAGCUUGGCCCAAA